rnacentral:rRNA from 1 species
UACGUAGGGUCCGAGCGUUGUCCGGAAUUACUGGGCGUAAAGAGCUCGUAGGUGGUUUGUCGCGUUGUUCGUGAAAACUCACAGCUCAACUGUGGGCGUGCGGCGAUACGGGCAGACUGGAGUACUGCAGGGAGACUGGAAUUCCUGGUGUAGCGGUGAAUGCGCAGAGUAUCAGGAGGAACACCGUGGCGAAGGCGGGUCUCUGGCAGUAACUGACGCUGGAGGAGCGAAAGCGUGGGAGCGAACAGG